rnacentral:rRNA from 1 species
UACGUAGGGGCGAGCGUUGUCCGGAGUACUGGGCGUAAAGCGCACGCAGGCGGUCUGUGAAGUUUGGAGUGACAGUUGGUGGCUCAACCACCAAAGUGCUUUGAAAACUGAUAGACUUGAGGGCUUCAGAGGGACACGGAAUUCCGGGUGGAGUGGUGAAAUGCGUAGAGAUCCGGAAGAACACCAGUGGCGAAGGCGGUCU